rnacentral:rRNA from 1 species
UGCCGGCGACCGGCGCACGGGUGAGUAACACGUAUCGCGACCUGCCCCCGCGAGGGGAUAACCGGAGAAAUCCCGACUAAUACCGCGUAACGCCGCGGGGCUGCAUGGCCCGGCGGCCAAAGGAAGCGAUUCCGGCGGGGGAUGGGCAUGCGGCGCAUUAGCUAGUCGGCGGGGUAACGGCCCACCGAGGCGACGAUGCGUAGGGGUUCUGAGAGGAAGGUCCCCCACACUGGUACUGAGACACGGACCAGACUCCUACGGGAGGCAGCAG